rnacentral:rRNA from 1 species
GACGAACGCUGGCGGCGUGCCUAAUACAUGCAAGUAGAACGCUGAAGGAGGAGCUUGCUUCUCUGGAUGAGUUGCGAACGGGUGAGUAACGCGUAGGUAACCUGCCUGGUAGCGGGGGAUAACUAUUGGAAACGAUAGCUAAUACCGCAUAAGAGUAGAUGUUGCAUGACAUUUGCUUAAAAGGUGCAAUUGCAUCACUACCAGAUGGACCUGCGUUGUAUUAGCUAGUUGGUGGGGUAACGGCUCACCAAGGCGACGAUACAUAGCCGACCUGAGAGGGUGAUCGGCCACACUGGGACUGAGACACGGCCCAGACUCCUACGGGAGGCAGCAGGAGGGAAUCUUCGGCAAUGGACGGAAGUCUGACCGAGCAACGCCGCGUGAGUGAAGAAGGUUUUCGGAUCGUAAAGCUCGGUUGUAAGAGAAGAACGAGUGUGAGAGUGGAAAGUUCACACUGUGACGGUAUCUUACCAGAAAGGGACGGCUAACUACGUG